CACACACACACAUGUAUAUGUGUGUGUGUGUGUGUGUGUGUGUGUGUGUAAUCAAUCAAGUAUCAUCAGCAUAACGGUAUGAGAAAUAAUUUGAGGAUAUAAAAUCACUAGGGGAACAGACAGAGGACCAAGCGCUGAACACUGUAGAACACCAGUGGCGUGUCUGCCUGGAGCAGAUAUAGAUUCCCACCACGUCACCUGAUAUGACCAUCCCUCUAGGUAUGAAGCAAAUCGCCGCCAUGCCGGGCCACUAAUCCCAAGGCUUGCGAGGAUGCACAAGAGAAUCUGGUUAUUGACCGUGCUGAGCACGACUGAGCCAUCAAGAAGGAUCAGGACUGAUGACAGCUUGGCUGAUCUAGCAGCAAGCAGCUUCUCAGUGACAGCUACACGUGCCAGUUCUGUGGAACGUGUCAGUUUAAACCUACACUGAUUAGGACGCGAAGAAAAGGAGGUGUGAAGAGCACGUUCAAGAGUUAGAAGUGAUAUCGUUCAUGCGUUGCAGAUGGAUAAAGGUGCCAGGCAAGAGCUUUUUUUCAGGAUAGGUGUGACCCUUACUGUUUGGAAGGCCUUUGGUACGUGACCAAAAAAAUCCUUCACAAUGGAACUGAUGAAGGGGAGCAGGUCCUGCGCAAUGGACCGGAACAGUGGAGUGGGUUCCAAGGGGCUGGUGAUAGGAAUGAGAUAAGAUUUGCUUUUCUGUUGAAAGUGGAGGAAACCAUGCUAAGGCAGUAGAAGACACUACAAGAUACUGAAGUUUAAGAAGUAGUGGUGGGAAGAAAGGACUGACAUAUUUAGCGAUUCUUUUCAUCAAGCAAGUUGGCAACACGCUCGUUAGUGAGGGACAAUAGCGAAGGAAGAGGCGGAGGACUAAGAAAAGUGGGAAGGGGGGUGAUUGGGAUACAGAUGCUGCCAGCUUUUCCUUGGAGAAUGAUGCCUUAACAGUAGUUACAUCAGAGAAGAACUCUGCUAGAAGCACACAAUAGGGGAGGAGAUCAGUGUUUUCCUCAACUUCCUUUCAGCUACUUUUAAUUCUUUCCAGUUGUUGCGCAAGAUAUCCAACAACUAAGGAGCUGGACGAGAAAACUUUCUUGGUCUGGAAGAUCGAGAACAGAGAAGGUCACAGAAGCCAUAUAGUGGUGACCCAUGACUGGGAUGGAAUGUUGGCCCUGCAUUUUGCCUUCGAGAGGCCAGCCACAGUCCAGCAUCUGGUCUCUCCCCGUCUCGCCUGAUGACAGGCCAGUGCGGGCUUGACUCUGUGGAGGCCGGAGAGAGAUCCGGAUCAGGAGGAAACCUGAUUAAAGCCCAGCUGGAGCCCUCCCCUAGCAGCACGUCCCAGUCCAGGAGAGAUCACCUGCUCCCUCCUUAGUUACUCUUUGUACAAACAUCAGGAUGUGGCCAUAACCAUCUGGGGUAAAGAAGAUAGCAUGCUGAUGGAAAGGAUGUCUGGUGGCCUUACACAACCUUCUGUAAGGGGCCCUCUUGUUGUUCAUAUCAUCCCAGACUUCAGUCCCUGGGUAAACGAGACCAGCCUGAGUCAGUCCGCAGACUGUAGUGGGACCUCUUUUUUAGUGUCAUAUCAUGUUGUGAUUUUCACAAUGGAAUCGUACGUUGAACAGUAAAAUAAUCCUGUCCUCUCUUUUAUUUCUCAUGUCUCAGGCACUCAAUUCACAGUUCUAUUUAUGUCUAGAUAGAUAGAUCUUUAUUGAUUUCAAGGGAAAUUGCAGAUUAAUUGUGUAUAGAUAUCUCUUGUUCCAGUACUGAUGCUGACCUGUUCCUACUGGUAUAAUAACACGCCAUAUAACCAUGACUUAUCUAGUCUUUUACUCUCUUGAUGGUCUUUAACCUUUGUCUAAAGAUUAAAAAAACAAACAAAACAAAAAAAAUUUACUUAUAUGUAUUU